GUUGGAUCACGAGAAGAAGAAGCUCAUCAAAGAUACUUUUAACACCGAAAAUGACCACAAAAAGGAAUACUCUGCAGUUGGCACGAGCACAUCACCAGUUCCUACCACGACCGCUAUACCAACUUCAGUAUCUUAUCUCUUCACGAGCAGCGAUGAUGAAAACUACCAUCAAAAGAAGUAUCAGUUUGACGAUAAGUUCCAAAAGAAGAAAAAACAACUUGCCGCCUGUUAUGACUGGCUCGCCGAGAAAAGAGCCAAUAGAUCGGCUUCUCACGUCAAGUUGCAAAGUUUAUCAUCUGAUGAUGAGGAUCGUCAGCUAUUGAUUACACCGGAACCUGCAGCGCCGGAGCUGGAGGUGAUUCCGGAGAUUAUUAAGGAGAGGGAUGUUGACUGCAACGUUGACCGCCAGUUGUCCUUGCCGAGACUGGCGAGUGGGAGUUGGAGUAGUUAUGCAGGUAGAUUGUUCUCGGGGACUACAUUGGAGGGAAACUUUUUGAGCGAUGUUAAGGACACUGCAACUAAUACCACGAGGCAGGAUACGGUGCAGGAGGAGGUGGUGGUGGUGGUGCAGGAUGAGAAGAAUGAAGAGAAGGGGGCGCAGAGGACAAGAGAGUCUUACUAUUUGCAGCUUGCUUUAGCUAAGA
rnacentral:misc_RNA from 1 species